AUUGAACGCUGGCGGCAGGCCUAACACAUGCAAGUCGAACGAGUGGCGGACGGGUGAGUAAUGUCUGGGAAACUGCCUGAUGGAGGGGUAUAACUACUGUAAACGGUAGCUAAUACCGCAUACCAUCGGAUGUGCCCCGAUGGGUUUAGCUAGUAGUUGGGGUAACGGCUCACCUAGGCGACGAUCCCUAGCUGGUCUGAGAGGAUGACCGGCCGCCCUGGAACUGAGAGACGGUCCAGACUCCUACGGGAGGCAGCAGUGGGGAGUAUUGCACAAUGGGCGCAAGCCUGAUGCAGCCAUGCCGCGUGUAUGAAGAAGGCCUUCGGGUUGUAAAGUACUUUCAGCGGGGAGGCGUUACCCGCAGAAGAAGCACCGGCUAACUCCGUGCCAGCAGCCGCGGUAAUUC
rnacentral:rRNA from 1 species